GACGAAGGGGGCUAGCGUUGUUCGGAAUUACUGGGCGUAAAGCGCGUGUAGGCGGUUGUCAAAGUCGGGUGUGAAAGCCUUGAGCUUAACUCAAGAAAUGCACUCGAUACUCGGUGACUAGAGGACCGGAGAGGAUAGUGGAAUUCCCAGUGUAGUGGUGAAAUACGUAGAGAUUGGGAAGAACACCAGUGGCGAAGGCGGCUAUCUGGACGGUUUCUGACGCUAAGACGCGAAAGCGUGGGGAGCAAACAGG
rnacentral:rRNA from 1 species